GGAGAGGGUGUCUCGUGUUGGUCUGCAUGACUGCGGUGGGGCAGGGGCCACGGGGGCCAAGCGCCAAAGGCAGAGACCCCAGCACACAUGACGCUGAAUUCCUUCAGACGAGGUCCUGCUGGCAGGUAGAACUCUCUUGGUCCAGAAUCUCACUUCAAAUGAAUG